UGAGGAAUAUUGGUCAAUGGACGCAAGUCUGAUCCAGCCAUGCCGCGUGCGGGAAGAAGGCCUUCGGGUUGUAAACCGCUUUUGUCAGGGAAGAAACGCUCUGGGUUAAUACCUCGGGGUAAUGACGGUACCUGAAGAAUAAGCACCGGCUAACUACGUGCCAGCAGCCGCGGUAAUACGUAGGGUGCGAGCGUUAAUCGGAAUUGCUGGGCGUAAAGCGUGCGCAGGCGGUUAUAUAAGACAGAUGUGAAAUCCCCGGGCUCAACCUGGGAACUGCAUUUGUGACUGUAUAGCUAGAGUACGGCAGAGGGGGAUGGAAUUCCGCGUGUAGCAGUGAAAUGCGUAGAUAUGCGGAGGAACACCGAUGGCGAAGGCAAUCCCCUGGGCCUGCACUGACGCUCAUGCACGAAAGCGUGGGGAGCAAACA
rnacentral:rRNA from 1 species